UGGGGAAUUUUGGACAAUGGGCGCAAGCCUGAUCCAGCCAUGCCGCGUGCGGGAAGAAGGCCUUCGGGUUGUAAACCGCUUUUGUCAGGGAAGAAAUCUUCUGAGUUAAUACCUCGGGAGGAUGACGGUACCUGAAGAAUAAGCACCGGCUAACUACGUGCCAGCAGCCGCGGUAAUACGUAGGGUGCAAGCGUUAAUCGGAAUUACUGGGCGUAAAGCGUGCGCAGGCGGUUUUGUAAGACAGAGGUGAAAUCCCCGGGCUCAACCUGGGAACUGCCUUUGUGACUGCAAGGCUUGAGUGCGGCAGAGGGGGAUGGAAUUCCGCGUGUAGCAGUGAAAUGCGUAGAUAUGCGGAGGAACACCGAUGGCGAGGCAAUCCCGUGGGCUGCACUGACGCUCAUGCACGAAAGCGUGGGGAGCAAACAGGAUUAGAUCCCUGGUAGUCCACGCCCUAAACGAUGUCAACUGGUUGUUGGGAAGGUUCCUUCUCAGUAACGUAGCUAACGCGUGAANUUGACCGCCUGGGGAGUACGGCCGCAAGGUUGAAACUU
rnacentral:rRNA from 1 species